rnacentral:lncRNA from 1 species
CCCCAUCUUCACUGCUGAAAACAGCUUCGUCUUCACGGGGCAGAGAUACCCGACGGUGACUUGGACAGCGACGGUCUUGAGGUUGGAAAGUGAGCGCUGGGAGCCUAGAGAGGAAGGAUUCCUUGGGUUCGAGACCACAGGGGGCCGGAGAGGGACAGGGAUGGAUGCGGACAGACAGGGGGUUGGGCCUAGGACAGGGGGACACGCAGAGGGAGGGUCAAUGAGUGUCCUACACUACUGCACGUCCGUCCUCCCUCAGGCUGGUCCCCCGCCCCCCAAGGCGGGGCCUCUGGAAGGGGGUGUCCAUCUGGCUGGUUCCCUGCGGCUGGACGUGGGUGGGGACACGGGCACGUCUGGUGGCCUGGUGAAGACAUGGUUCCCUCAGCCCCUGGUCUGCUGAUACCCUACUCCUUGGGGAGUCACGUGCUUCUUUGGGGGUCAGGCAAGAAUGCUUCCCAAACGAUUGGAAGCAUUUGCUGCUUUGACCUGCAUGGCCGAGGGGUCAUGGGGACAGUUUGUAGUUAACACAGCAGGGCGGCACUUGCAAACAGGAGGUGCUGUGUCACAGUUCAUGAAUAGGGAACUGGGCUCAUCCGUGUUCACUGUUUGGGAACUAACAGCAUAGAGGCCCCCUGGUCCUAAUAACUCUUAAAUGGUCUUUUUUUUUUUUUUUUUUUUUGGUCUUUUUUGCCUUUUCUAGGGCCGUGGCAUAUGGAGGUUCCCAGGCUAGAGGUUGUAUCGGAGCCAAAGCCGCCAGCCUACACCACAGCCACAGCAACGUGGGAUCCGAGGCCAUGUCUGCAACCUACACCACAGCUCACGGCAAUGCCGGAUCCUUAACCCACUGAGCAAGGCCAGGGAUCAAACCCGCAACCUCAUGGUUCCUAGUCGGAUUUGUUAACCACUGCGCCACGAUGGGAACUCCUAAAAAGUCUAUGAACUAGAAGGGCCUUGAGGACAGAGAAAUGAGUGACCACACAGCACAGUCCUGGGUGGGGUCCGUGCACAGACAGGAGGAGCUGGAGGGGCCCAGGGUGCGUCAGUUAUGCUGACAGCCUCACAGGAGGGAGAAAGGGCUGCAGGAGGCACAGAUGUGAGUCCCGCAGGUGUCACAGCAAAGGGACGUGGGCCAGGUGGUGGGCAGGCCUUGCUCCUCGAGCAGGACAGGGGCCAUGGCCCUAAGAAGGUGACCUCACACAUGCUGGUAGGGACCCAGCUGUGUACAGGGGACAUACCUGUGUCCAGGUCCAUGUGCUGCUUCUUUGGGGCUAGACUGCUCAGACCUCGGCGUGACCUCCAUGUGACCUCUGCAUGACCUCUACAGGCUGGCCUGAGCUGGAGCAUCGAGUCCAGGGUCUCAGGCAGGUCACAUCCCCAGGGUGCAGGGAGGCCCCCCAGGAGACCUUGGAGGCCACUUCUGGGGGGCAGGGCUCGACUCCGCCCACUGAGGGAGGGUAAGCAGGGCAGGGGUGUCCACAUGGAUGGGCAGUGUUACAAGCUCACCUCAGAAAAUUCCUUCCAUGGCUCCGGGUGUUACGGUAAAAAUCAUGUUUCUGCCAUUUUCGAGUAACAGGAGGUGCUCCCGCCUUACUCUGCAGCCGCACCCGUGUUCCCGCAACUCCCAUGGACUGACUGGAGGGCUGUCUGCUUCACCUGGCAGGUCCCAGCCUCGGGGUGAAAGGAAUCAGGACACCCCCCCGCCCCCCGGCGUCCAGGGCCGAAGUCAGUCAGUCAGCCUGUGCAGGGCCCCCGCCCCACGGGGCUGGUCACAGCUUGAUGAUAGAGCUGGCCCUGCCCCUGGUGGCUUCUGUCCUGCGCUGCUGGGCACACAUCAACGUGCAGGCUGAACGGUGGGUCUGCCUCUGGACCGUCCUGGUGAGGGUUGUUCAUGCCCUCGUUUACACUCCAUAACCCCCAUGUUGCCACCCAGGUACCACCUGGGCAAGCAGACGGGGGUCUCUGUGCAGAAGCGGGAAUUCCUGCAGUGCCAAGUUGUCACUGUGACAAAGCACAGGAACCCGAGGGCAGGCUGUUAAGAGACUAGAGAAGGAGGAGGGAACAAAACUGGGGGCAGGGCUGGGAGCUGCCAGGAUGGAUACCAUGGGGCUGCGGGAGCUGUGGGUGGGAGUGGGGGACGUCCACCGUGGCGUCAGGGCCCAGAUGGGGGGAUGCCCACUUAGGUUAGGGCCCAGGUCGGGGGGAUGUCCUGAGUGAGGUCAGGGCCCAAAUGGGGGGACAUCCACAUAGGUCAGGGCCCAGAUGGGGGGAUGUCCAGAGUGAGGUAAGGGCCCAGAUGGGGGGACAUCCAGAAUGAGGUCAGGGCCCAGAUGGGUGGACAUUCACAGUGAGAUGAGGGCCCAGGUGGGGGGUGAGGGGUGAUGCAGGUUCCCCUGACUCUCCACUCCAGGCCCUCUGCCUCAUGGGCACCCCUCACCUUUACCUGGGUCCCCUCUCCACCAUGUGAUGCUCUACUGGGAGGAGGAUAUCAUGAGUUUUUGUCUAUAUCCCCAAAAGUACACUGGAAUGUCCUGAAGCUGCAUUGUCCUCCCUGAGGUUGCUCCGUCAUCAGAAUGGGAUGUACAGGUUGUCACAUCGAUUUGAACCCAUAGCAGUUACUCUCAUUCCUUGAUGGAAUAUUACUCAGCCAUGAAAAGCAAUGAAGUUCCAACACUUGCUUACAAAGUGGGUGAACCCUGAGGACACAAUGCUCAGCGAGAGAAGCCAGUCACAAAAGUCACGCUUUUUUUAAAGAAACUUUUUAUUAUAGUUGAUUUACAAUGUCCUCUCAAUUUUUGCUGUACAGCCAAGUGAAAACCCACAUUUUCUUGAUUCCGUUUAAUAUGAGCCAUCCAGAGCAGAUAAAUCCAUGGAGACAGAAGCAAUCUGGUGUUUUCAGGCGGAGGGGCGAGGACACUGAGAGUGAUUAACGGGACAGGGUCUCCUCCAGGGGGAUAAGGAUGUGCUGGAACCAGAUAGAGGUGGUGCUGGCACAACACUGGGAAUGGGCUAAAUGCCCCCAAAUUGUUCUCUUUAACACAAAACAAUUUUUAACAAUAAAAAACCCACACCAAGG